rnacentral:lncRNA from 1 species
GAAGAAACCAGCCAUGGCAACGGGUUAGAAGCCACUGAAGUCCCUAUCUUCUUCCGUUGCCGAGUGUAGAAGCUUGGGCUUUGGAAAUUAGACUGAGAUCAGUUCACUCCUAAGGUUUGGAAUUGGGGAAGAGUAGAGAAUUGGAGCUGGAGGUCGAUCGAGGGCUCUUGCCAGUUAAAAGGUGGGAUUGUGCAGUACAUAAAUCGAAGAAGAAGGAUUUUGGGGUGAAGGCUACUUGACUGGGUAUUGAUCAAAUUGAGUCAAUGGAACUGAGCAGGAGCUAGCUGAGGACAAGACUUAGACACUUGGGUGUUGGCAUCGUCAAGUUGUGAAUAGCUUCUUUUGGACUUGACUGUUGGUUUGGCAGGUGUUGAUCAGUCUCCCUCCUUUUGAAAUUGUGAAUGUGACUUUGUCUUUUUGUGGGAACCUUUGUAAAUUUGUUAGUAUCCGCCUGCCUAUCUUUUGGUGUGUGUUACUUAGCGUGAAUCUGAAACCCGAAUCUUGGACUCAUGGCUUUUGUGGAAUG